GAUGAACGCUAGCGGCAGGCCUAACACAUGCAAGUCGAGGGAGAAGCCCUUUCGGGGGCAGAAACCGGCGCACGGGGCGUAACGCGUAUGCAACCUACCUUUCACAGGGGGAUAGCCCGAAGAAAUUUGGAUUAAUACCCCAUAAUAUUAUUGGAUGGCAUCAUUUGAUAAUUAAAACUUCGGUGGUGAAAGAUGGGCAUGCGUCCUAUUAGCUAGUUGGAGUGGUAACGGCACCCCAAGGCUACGAUAGGUAGGGGUCCUGAGAGGGAGAUCCCCCACACUGGUACUGAGACAGGGACCAGACUCCUACGGGAGGCAGCAGUGAGGAAUAUUGGUCAAUGGUCGGAAGACUGAACCAGCCAUGCCGCGUGCAGGAAGAAUGCCUUAUGGGUUGUAAACUGCUUUUAUAUGGGAAGAAUAAGGCGUACGUGUACGUUGAUGACGGUACCAUAUGAAUAAGCAUCGGCUAACUCCGUG
rnacentral:rRNA from 1 species